rnacentral:lncRNA from 1 species
AGUCCGGCUGGCCGCUCACGCGUCGGGCCCCCAUUUACUCUCGUUACUGAGGAGACACGGCUCCAGUUUUGACCCGACUACGGUUGUUUUCUUCGUGUGUACCGCGAAAUGCUGAUGACGUCCGGUUCCGCGCAGUUUUUUUCCUAUUUCGUUUCCAACCACAGUUGUGCGGUUCACAGAUUUUUCCCUUGGGAUGUGUUUUCCAUACCUCCAAGCCCACUCUCAGAGCCUUGGGGCCCCAUAAAACUUCAUGCGCAGCUGCUUUCUGGUAUUUGCAGACCUGGAAGGCUUCUCGUAUUCUUAAUUUGGGGAAGAGAGACAUAGGUUUCCUUGUACAACGGGAUGAGGAUUUAAGAGCAGAACGACACUGAUAUUUUAAAGGCGAGGGUAUUUAGAUUUGUGGAGCUGAAACUUGCCUGAAAAGGGAGACAAAAUUUGGAAGUUUGUUGUGUGCAGUUUCUGCCCCUUACCCCCGCCCUUCACUUUUAAACUGCGCAUAUAUCAACAAUAGUUACGGUUGUUGCAGCAGUCUAAAUUUGAUUAUCAGAAUUGACCCUAGGCAUGAAUUUUUUUUUAAAUAUACCAAUGUCGUGUUAUAUACACUUAUACCAUUAUGUCCAGACUUCUCUUAAGCAUAGUUCGUGGUGGGCAGUUUUGUGGUCAUUUAGGGAUGAACUUGGGUAGGGAAAGCUGAGCAUACAUAAUUUAUUUUAGGAAUGCACCAGUUCUGCCAACAUUUAUCAGAAGUCACGUUUUUAAAAAGCUAUUCUGGAACUGAAGAUGUCAUUGGUUUAUAAGAGGAAAAUGGAAGCCAAAAGCUUACACCUCAUGCUCUAUCUUUAAAAAUUAAGGUGGCAGACACAAUGAGUAGAAGGCUUUUAUGUUACCAGAAUGAAGGCUUAAAAUCUGUCAUUUUAUUGACUCGGCUUUCUUUUUAGAAAUUUCUUUAAGAUAUAAAAGCAAUGUGGAAUAUCACUCUUUCACACUCUUAAAAUAGAUUACGUUCUCUGGAACUUCUCUAAUCUGAAAUGUGUUCAAAAAGGAAAAAGAUCUUUAAAAUACGCCAGUUAGUCUAUGGUAUAAUAUUAAACACUAUUCAUCACUAGAGAAGUUAUGGUGGUAUACCCUCCCCUUUCUCAGAUGUCCACCUUAAUGCCAGAAAUGAGCGGAGUUUCCCUUUGUUGUGCAAAAUGACUGUGUCCUUGAGGGAUGUUUGGAUGCUCUUGGUAAACCGGAAUCAGCCAGAAGCAUAUCCGGUGUUAGCCUUGUUGUGUCAUCAACAUUACAACAGUGAGGAAACCCACAUAUUCCAAUGAAAGAGGAAAACUUAAAGAAGAAGUUUCCAGUGUAUUUUCUUUGAGAUAUAUUUAUUCCUAUGACCUCAGAAGAUCAGCUUUUACCGUCCAAGGUUCACUUUGCCUAAAAGCUGAUUGUUCCUGUGGAAACAGUAGCAUCGGAUGACCCUACAAACAAAGCAUUAUGACAUCAUCAGAGCCAACAACCUGGCAUGACAGAUACUAAUAAGGAAAAAAGAGGUUACAAGAAUUCUGACACUCAUCACAGUGGAUCCAAUAUCUGGUCCCUUGGGUUUCAUAUAUGUUAGAAGUAUCUUCUCAGGAGGGAAAAGUCAAUGCCAGUCAUAUCCUUUCUAGGUAAUACUAAAUAGCACAUAAUAACCUGUCUUCUUUUUUUUUUCUUUUUCUUUGAGACGGAGUCUCAGUCUCACCCAGGCUGGAGUGCAAUGGCGCGAUCUUGGCUCACUGCAACUUCUGCCUCCCAGGUUCAAGUGAUUCGAGUAGGUGGGAUUACAGGCGCACACCGCCACGCUCUGCUAAUUUUUUGUAAUUUUUUUGUAUAUUUUGUAGAGAUGGGGGUUUCACCAUGUUGGCCAGGCUGGUCUCGAAGUCCUGACCUCGUGAUCCACCCGCCUCAGCCUCCCAAAGUGCUGGGAUUACAGCUAUUAGAAAUGUCCAUCAGCUUACGAGGAGAUUCUCCCUCAUCUCACAAACUACCUGCAUCUCCACUUCCCUGGAAGAAAAAAAAAAUCUGGACAUACCCAAGCUGUGUAUGUGCCUGAGAUCUUCCCUUCCAAGGUAAAGAGAGAGCCUGAGACAGGUCUAAAUUAGCAUCUGGACUUUCUGCUAGUAAAGAAAAGGAAAUAUGGGAAACUAAAUAGUAACAUUAAAGGACCCACAAAGGGACUACUGGGUAAGUGCUAUAAUGGAUAAUGUAAUGUGAUUUAUGAAUGCUUUUGUUCUAGUGAUUUAUUAAACUGGGAAGUCAGAAGCAGUCCUGUGAACAUUUGUUUGUUGAAGCAUGAAAAGGCAGAAUUGAUGAGUCCUUGCUUGAGUCUAUGCCUCCACCCAGUAGUUUGUUCUUAGUCUCCUAGGGGCUGAUCUCAGCAGAGAAAUGGAGACAGUUCAGUCACCAACAGUUUGUUACUGGAUUUUGGAAAAGGUACCAAAGUAAGAAUCCAAGGCUUGUAUUCUUAUCUUAGCUCUGUGAUUAACAAGCUUAGGUAAGGCUUCUAAUCUUUCUGGGUUUCUUUCCUUAUCAAUAAAAUGCGCAAGUCAGACUGCAUAAUCUUUAUGGUUUCUUCCAAAUUUCAAAUUCCAUGCAUCUAUUAAAGAGAAUCAAAAUUGUGCAUGAUUUGUCUAAAAUACCAUGUUAAAAAGUCUAAGAUAAAAUGAAAUGGGAAUUACAUACCAUUUUGAGUUUAAAAAUCACUUUUGUAAAUAUAUUAAGGAAUGAACUUGGUUUUAUUGCAAUUUAUGUAGAAAUACUGGGAAGUAGAGGGGGCUUUGAUUAACAAUUUUAAAAUGCUGAUGCAAUCCAGUCGAAAUAUAGAUGGGAUUUCAUAAAGUAGCAAAAAUUCUAUAUUCAUAAUUCAGAGUGAUAACAAAUGCAUAUCUAUAAAGCAAAAGUGUGUUUUUAAAAGUAAUUUUAAAUCCCAGUCAUUUCAUUUAAGUCUUCUAAUAAAGGAUGAAGAAG